GCCGGCGUAGCUUAGCUGGAAGAGCGGCUGACUUGUAAUCAGCAGGUCGGGGGUUCAAAUCCCUCCGCCGGCU
rnacentral:tRNA from 1 species